CGCAUCUGUGCAUGCAGCAUAUCAAUAAGCGGAGGAAAAGAAACUAACAAGGAUUCCCUUAGUAACGGCGAGUGAAGCGGGAAGAGCUCAAAUUUGAAAUCUUAAAGGUUUUCCCUUGACGAAUUGUAGUUUAAAGAAGUGUUUUCUGUUGAAGUUUUGGUAAAAGUUCUUUGGAAUAGGACAUCAUAGAGGGUGAGAAUCCCGUAUUUGACCAUUACUUUCAGCUGUGUGAUACACAUUUCAAAGAGUCGGAUUGUUUGGGAAUGCAGUCCAAAAUGGGUGGUAAAUUUCAUCUAAAGCUAAAUAUUGGCGAGAGACCGAUAGCGAACAAGUACCGUGAGGGAAAGAUGAAAAGAACUUUGAAAAGAGAGUUAAACAGUACGUGAAAUUGUCAAAAGGGAAGCGUUUGACACCAGUGUUGUUUUCUCGAAAAUCAAUUAAAAAGAGUUGGAUUUUGUGUUGUAUUGACCUUAACAGCUUGCUUCACUCUUUUCCAGCUUUUUUUAAUGCACUUUUCGUUUAACAAGUCAACAUCAGUUUCUUUUGUUGUAAAAGGGUCAUUGGAAGGUGGCUUUCUCUUCGGAGAAAGUGUUUAUAGCCUUUGAUCUCUGCAAUCGGAGAGACUGAGGUCCUGCAGCGUAGAUCCUUCGGGGUUAGAUACAUUUGUGCUAAGCUACAGCUUUUCAUAGACAACUUGUUGACUAUGUUUAGUCUUGUGACUUACCCGCUUAUGCUAUUUUACCUACGCUUAGGAUGUUGAUAUGCAUGACUGAUAU
rnacentral:rRNA from 1 species